AUUCUGCCCAUGCGGGGAAGGAUGAGAAGCUUCGACCAAGGUUCGACUCGAGCGCCAGCGAGAGAGCGUGGCCGCAGGCAACGACCCGAAGGGCGAAGCGCGCAGCGCUGAGUAAUCCUUCUCCCACCACCA
rnacentral:sRNA from 2 species